rnacentral:rRNA from 1 species
GACGAACCGUGCGAACGUUGUUCGGAAUCACUGGGCUUAAAGGGCGCGUAGGCGGACGGCCAAGUCAGGGGUGAAAUCUUUCGGCCCAACCGGAAAAGGGCCCCUGAUACUGGUCGUCUCGAGGGAGGUAGGGGUUGGUGGAACUUCCGGUGGAGCGGUGAAAUGCGUAGAGAUCGGAAAGAACACCAACGGCGAAAGCACUCUGCUGGGCCGACACUGACACUGAGAGACGAAAGCUAGGGGAGCGAAUGGG